UGAGGGAAUAUUGGGUCAAUGGGGCGAGAGCCUGAACCAGCCAAGUAGCGUGCAGGAUGACGGCCCUAUGGGUUGUAAACUGCUUUUAUAAGGGAAUAAAGUGGGUCACGUGUGACUUUUUGCAUGUACCUUAUGAAUAAGGACCGGCUAAUUCCGUGCCAGCAGCCGCGGUAAUACGGAAGGUCCGGGCGUUAUCCGGAUUCAUUGGGUUUAAAGGGAGCGUAGGCCGCCUUUUAAGCGUGUUGUGAAAUGUCCUGGCUCAACCAGGGCACUGCAGCGCGAACUGGAGGGCUUGAGUGCGCACGACGCAGGCGGAAUUCGUGGUGUAGCGGUGAAAUGCUUAGAUAUCACGAAGAACCCCGAUUGCGAAGGCAGCUUGCGGAGAGCG
rnacentral:rRNA from 1 species